rnacentral:rRNA from 1 species
AGGAUGAACGCUAGCGAUAGGCCUAACACAUGCAAGUCGAGGGGCAGCACAUGAAGCAGCAAUGCGGAUGGUGGCGACCGGCGCACGGGUGAGUAACGCGUAUGCAACCUACCUACAACAGGGAAUAACCCGUUGAAAAACGGACUAAUACCCCAUAAAACAGGGAUCCCGCAGUGGGAAUAUUUGUUAAAGAUUUAUCGGUUGUAGAUGGGCAUGCGUUCCAUUAGCUAGUUGGUGAGGUAACGGCUCACCAAGGCAACGAUGGAUAGGGGAACUGAGAGGUUUAUCCCCCACACUGGUACUGAGACACGGACCAGACUCCUACGGGAGGCAGCAGUGAGGAAUAUUGGUCAAUGGGCGCAAGCCUGAACCAGCCACGUCGCGUGAAGGAAGACGGCCCUACGGGUUGUAAACUUCUUUUGUAAGGGAAUAAAGUGUAGUACGUGUACUAUUUUGCAUGUACCUUACGAAUAAGGAUCGGCUAACUCCGUG